rnacentral:misc_RNA from 1 species
UCAAACAUGCAAUGUGUAAUGGAUAUGGAAGCAGAAGGUUACGAUCAGGUAGAAUCUGGCUUGGUGGCAACUGGUGCAUCAAUAUGGGUACAAGGGAAUGUGGUUAAGAGCCAAGGGUCAAAACAAAAGGUGGAACUGAAUGUCAACAAAAUUAUAGCGGUUGGCAAGAGUGAUCCUUCCUAUCCAAUUCAAAAGAAAAGGGUCAGCAGAGAAUUUUUGAGAACUAAAGCUCAUCUUCGUCCUAGAACAAACACAUUUGGUGCGGUUGCAAGGGUAAGGAAUGCUUUGGCCUAUGCUACACACAAGUUCUUUCAAGAAAAUGGGUUUGUCUGGGUCUCAAGUCCUAUUAUCACAGCUUCAGAUUGUGAAGGAGCAGGUGAACAGUUCUGUGUUACUACUUUGAUUCCAAGCUCUCGGGAAGCAGCUGAUUCUCUUGUGGAUGGCAUUCCAAAAACAAAGGACGGGUUAAUUGAUUGGUCACAGGAUUUUUUUGGCAAACCAGCAUUUUUGACAGUCUCCGGCCAGCUCAAUGCCGAAACAUAUGCUACUGCUCUUUCUGAUGUUUAUACAUUUGGUCCCACAUUUCGAGCAGAAAAUUCUAAUACUUCUAGACACUUGGCUGAAUUUUGGAUGAUUGAACCAGAACUUGCAUUUGCUGAUCUGAAUGAUGAUAUGGCUUGUGCAACUGCCUAUCUCCAGUAUGUAGUCAGGCAUAUCCUUGAAAAUUGCAAGGAAGACAUGGACUUCUUCAAUACUUGGAUUGAGAAAGGAAUCAUUGAUCGAUUGAGUGUAUGAGCUCUCAAGUGUAACUUAUCCUUCUUCAACCUUUUUGUUAUAUGUUCAAUCUUUUGCUGUUACUUUUUUUUAUGACUUGGUUCUAAAUAUGAUGGUCUGGUUUAUACAUUUAUAUCCAAAUUUGACUGACAUCGCUAUGCAUGCCUUGACAUCUCAGAAAUUUCUGUGUUUGAUGCACAGAAUGUUGUUGACAAAGAUUUUGUCCAGUUGACUUAUACUGAUGCCAUUGAACUUCUUCUCAGAACAAAUAAGAAAUUUGACUUCCCGGUGAAAUGGGGAUGCGAUUUGCAAAGUGAGCAUGAGCGUUAUAUAACUGAAGGGGCUUUUGGUGGAUGCCCAGUCAUAAUAAGAGAUUAUCCAAAGGAGAUCAAGGCAUUUUAUAUGAGGCAAAAUGAUGAUGGGAAGACUGUCGCAGCCAUGGAUAUGCUGGUUCCUCGGGUUGGGGAGCUUAUUGGUGGAAGUCAAAGAGAAGAACGGCUUGAAUAUUUGGAAGAUCGUUUGGAUGACUUGAAGUUAAACAAGGACAGCUACUGGUGGUAUCUUGAUCUGCGGCGGUAUGGUUCAGGUUAGAAUUGUACUCAUUUAAACUAAUGAUUCUCUCAAAUUGAUGGUGAGAUUGGCAUCUGUUGAAGUCCGUUGCAUAAAAAUUCUAAUUUCUUCCAAGUUCUUCGACAUGUCUACUAAAUAAGAAUAACUACUAAAGCACACUUUUUUUUCAUACAUUUUCCGUGGCCCACUGCAGUUUAGGGGGCAAUGCUGUCCCCCAAUUUACUAUCGUGCCAGCAAUUCUCUUUUUGAGGGCUCAUUUGUGUGGAGAGGCCUUGUGCAUGAAUGAUCUCACAAGGUGUAAAUUGAGGUAGAUUUGAGGAACUAGAGAGUAAUUCUUGAGAAAAUAAACCUGCAAGGGGGAGGGGCAUAAACUCAAAUGUUCUUGAAGCGGAGGUGGAGAAUCCAUAGUGCUCCACAUAAAGGCCUUUCCAUGUGGUUAGAUUAAAUUAUGCAUGUUUGCUUUAUUCCUCGUCAAGAUGCUGGUCCAGGCUCGUAUCAGUUCAAAUAUGCUGGCAUUAAAUCCUAGACAACAAACAGGCUCAGUAUAUUGUUAUAGGUGUUGGAUCAAUAAAGAAAAUUUUGAUGCUAUGAUAAUUAUAUGACUGUUAUCUAUCCUCUGAAAAUUUAAAAUCUUUAAUUCAAAUUUUGGUAUUCUGAUUUCUUCUUCUUUUUUUUU